rnacentral:rRNA from 1 species
GACGAACGCUGGCGGCGUGCUUAACACAUGCAAGUCAAACGGAAAGGCCCUGCUUUUGUGGGGUGCUCGAGUGGCGAACGGGUGAGUAACACGUGAGUAACCUGCCCUUGACUUUGGGAUAACUUCAGGAAACUGGGGCUAAUACCGGAUAGGAGCUCCUGCUGCAUGGUGGGGGUUGAAAAGUUUCGGCGGUUGGGGAUGGACUCGCGGCUUAUCAGCUUGUUGGUGGGGUAGUGGCUUACCAAGGCUUUGACGGGUAGCCGGCCUGAGAGGGUGACCGGCCACAUUGGGACUGAGAUACGGCCCAGACUCCUACGGGAGGCAGCAGUGGGGAAUAUUGCACAAUGGGCGGAAGCCUGAUGCAGCAACGCCGCGUGCGGGAUGACGGCCUUCGGGUUGUAAACCGCUUUCGCCUGUGACGAAGCGUGAGUGACGGUAAUGGGUAAAGAAGCACCGGCUAACUACGUG